AUUAAGUAAAUGGCUGGUGGGCUCCCGUAAAUCAUAACAUUUCUAAAUGUGCUGGAGAGUCUCUCUGCCAAGCUGCUGACGAAUACAGUGUCUGUUCCUAUUGACUUCUCUUCCCCCUUCAGAUUACUUUUGCUUUGAAUCAUUUCAAAUCAUAAAGCCAAAAAAAUCAUGUAAUGAGACUAGCUGAUGCAGUGAUUAAUGAAAGUGCAAUGAGAGCUACCAUACAGCCAUUACAAACCAGUUAGCUAAUUAGUGUAAUCACAGAGGUGGAAAUAAUUAAAAGACCACAAAGCAGUGGUAGCCUAAUAACAGCCUUUUCCUCUGACCCAGAGCUGGAGAGAAAAGGAUGCUUUGGUUUGCUGGGUCGGGGCCAGAAAGGAGCCGAGAGCGAAGGGUCUGGAAGCAACCACAGUGUGUGAGGUGUCGGGGCUGGUUCAGACAAGGAUAAAUGGAACAGCUUUUAGACCCAUGUAACCCAGAUUGCAUCCGAGUCCUCUGGCAAUGGCAUUUCACGUUACAGCAGCCCUCUCCCAGCUCUUUCCAUUGCCAGGCUGUUUCCUCACCAAGCCCCGAGCAUCUCCUCCCCGACACCUGCUGCGCUGCAAAGAAAAGAAGCGUGGUGGCAAACUGGAGAUGGUAUUUGUGCUGAGGCAGGAUCCGACCUUCUCUCUUCCUUUCUUACUUUUUUGUCCAUUUUUGUUUUUUUCCACAGGUCAUUGACAAAGGCAGUAUUAAAGUUUUAUUUACCUUGCAGCCAAACUUGGUUUCGGGAGAGGGAGAAACCAGCAUCCUAGGGGAAAAGUCUGGGCCAAGGGUGUGGUGCUGGGGUGCGUGGUGCUCACCACCAGAGCCGCUGCUGCAAGCGGGGCACCGAGCAGGUCUGUUGUCCUCCCCUCCGUGCCCUGCCUGGCACAGACAGCCCUGACACUGGGCAGUACCAGCAUGAUGGUGAACCCAAAACAACCCCGAAAUGCCUGCUCAGAUGCUUCUCCAAGGGGUCGCCCAGCCAGGACUGCUAAUGAGAGACAUGGGACGGCGUGCGGAGCUGGAUUUCACCCUGGUAAUUAGAAGUGACCUACCUCUUGCUGCUAGAUGAAACAGCUCCAUUUGACGGGCUAUAAAAAAUCCUAACUGGUAAUUUUCCAGUUGGGCUGGGUCAUCGUUGUGGCCAUCACUAUCGGCUCUUAUCAUUUCUGCCAUGGUUUUUUGUGUGCUUCAUUUGACCCGGGUAUAAUGAGCAAAGGAGAAGAAAGUAGCUGCAGACACACAAUCAACGAUCAUCUGCUGAAGCUGAUGAAUAUGCCAAGACUGCUAAGUGGGUCUUCAUUAGCUAUUCACAUGCUAAGAGCCGUCUUUAUUUGUUCUUCUCUUCUAGGUGAAUCUAUAUUUGAAUAUCUUUACUAUAUCUACCCGGGGGGUGGGUGGAGGAUUACCACCACUGUCAGGUAACAUGAGUAUUUUCCUGAAAAAAAAAAUAGAUCGUGACACCAAGCUGGCAGCAGGCUAAAAAGAAGAAACAAUGUGAUGCCAUUUAGAGGGGGAAGAAAUAAUUCUCCCCGAUGACACCUCUAGUGGGAGGCAGAACUUUAUCUUCUCCUCGCAGCUCAAAUGAAGCAUCACAGCAGUAGCACUAAGUUUGCUUCCAUGUUUCCAACGUGUCUUUUCAUUGACUAUAGGCUGUAGCUGUGCAAACACAUUUCCAGGGUAAGAGCAGGGGCUGUCCUGCUCGGAGGGUUUGUAGGGCCAUUGGUGACAAUGCAAGGCCAGGGCAUCCCACCCAGCUGUGACUCGUGCAGCCCUGUGUGCACGCUGGUGAGCCCUGUUUGAACUUUCUCCCUUCAGCUUUCUGUAAAAGCUGCAGUUCUCUGUGUGCUGGGACAGGGGCUGGCUCUUUGCAGGAUGCUUCUCCCCUCCCAGGAGCAUCCAUCGGCGGGGAAGGCUGCCCUCUCCCGACACGAGGAGCGAGGCGGCGGCUGAGCUGCACCCAGCACCCUCGGCCAGCACCCACCCUGCUCCCAUCCGCACCCUGUGGGGCACAGAGAUGUCCCAGCUCAGUGAGCCCAACACAACCCCCUGUGUCCCCAAGGUGCCCUGGCCCCACCACCAGCUCCAGGGUCCGACCCAUGUCCCCCCACCAGCAUCACAUGGGUGCUGCUUGGGAAACCACCCGGCUCGCUGCAUCUCUUCUGCACAGGAUUGCCUUCUCACCUGCCCCAUUCCUGCCCACCCAGGUGUGCCCAGCACCUUUUUUAAAUAAGAAAUAAAAAAUAAAAUCUGACAGUGUGUGAGUGAGCAACAUACUCAUCUGUGUGAGCUGUUUCCAGCUGAGUCUGUACGUGCUGGAGGCAGGGGGGUGACACAGGAGCAAAGUCACAUUU